AUUGAACGCUGGCGGCAGGCUUAACACAUGCAAGUCGAACGAUGAAGGUCUAGCUUGCUAGACUGGAUUAGUGGCGGACGGGUGAGUAACACUUAGGAAUCUACCUUUUAGCGGGGGAUAGCUCGGGGAAACUCGAAUUAAUACCGCAUAAUUUCUACGGAAUAAAGAGGGCUUUUAGCUCUCACUAGAAGAUGAGCCUAAGUAAGAUUAGCUAGUUGGUGGGGUAAAGGCCUACCAAGGCGACGAUCUUUAGCUGGUCUGAGAGGAUGAUCAGCCACACUGGGACUGAGACACGGCCCAGACUCCUACGGGAGGCAGCAGUGGGGAAUAUUGGACAAUGGGGGCAACCCUGAUCCAGCCAUGCCGCGUGUGUGAAGAAGGCCUUUUGGUUGUAAAGCACUUUAAGCAGUGAAGAAGACCUAUUGGUUAAUACCCAAUAGCAAUGACAUUAACUGCAGAAUAAGCACCGGCUAACUCUGUGCCAGCAGCCGCGGUAAUACAGAGGGUGCAAGCGUUAAUCGGAAUUACUGGGCGUAAAGCGAGCGUAGGUGGUUAAAUAAGUCAGAUGUGAAAGCCCUGGGCUCAACCUAGGAACGGCAUCCGAAACUAUUUAACUAGAGUAGGUGAGAGGGAAGUAGAAUUUCAGGUGUAGCGGUGAAAUGCGUAGAGAUCUGAAGGAAUACCGAUGGCGAAGGCAGCUUCCUGGCAUCAUACUGACACUGAGGCUCGAAAGCGUGGGUAGCAAACAGG
rnacentral:rRNA from 1 species